AAAUUGAAGAGUUUGAUCAUGGCUCAGAUUGAACGCUGGCGGCAGGCCUAACACAUGCAAGUCGAACGGUAACAGGAAGCAGCUUGCUGCUUCGCUGACGAGUGGCGGACGGGUGAGUAAUGUCUGGGAAACUGCCUGAUGGAGGGGGAUAACUACUGGAAACGGUGGCUAAUACCGCAUAACGUCGCAAGACCAAAGAGGGGGACCUUCGGGCCUCUUGCCAUCAGAUGUGCCCAGAUGGGAUUAGCUUGUUGGUGAGGUAACGGCUCACCAAGGCGACGAUCCCUAGCUGGUCUGAGAGGAUGACCAGCCACACUGGAACUGAGACACGGUCCAGACUCCUACGGGAGGCAGCAGUGGGGAAUAUUGCACAAUGGGCGCAAGCCUGAUGCAGCCAUGCCGCGUGUAUGAAGAAGGCCUUCGGGUUGUAAAGUACUUUCAGCGGGGAGGAAGGUGUUGUGGUUAAUAACCGCAGCAAUUGACGUUACCCGCAGAAGAAGCACCGGCUAACUCCGUGCCAGCAGCCGCGGUAAUACGGAGGGUGCAAGCGUUAAUCGGAAUUACUGGGCGUAAAGCGCACGCAGGCGGUCUGUCAAGUCGGAUGUGAAAUCCCCGGGCUCAACCUGGGAACUGCAUUCGAAACUGGCAGGCUUGAGUCUUGUAGAGGGGGGUAGAAUUCCAGGUGUAGCGGUGAAAUGCGUAGAGAUCUGGAGGAAUACCGGUGGCGAAGGCGGCCCCCUGGACAAAGACUGACGCUCAGGUGCGAAAGCGUGGGGAGCAAACAGGAUUAGAUACCCUGGUAGUCCACGCCGUAAACGAUGUCUACUUGGAGGUUGUGCCCUUGAGGCGUGGCUUCCGGAGCUAACGCGUUAAGUAGACCGCCUGGGGAGUACGGCCGCAAGGUUAAAACUCAAAUGAAUUGACGGGGGCCCGCACAAGCGGUGGAGCAUGUGGUUUAAUUCGAUGCAACGCGAAGAACCUUACCUGGUCUUGACAUCCACAGAACUUUCCAGAGAUGGAUUGGUGCCUUCGGGAACUGUGAGACAGGUGCUGCAUGGCUGUCGUCAGCUCGUGUUGUGAAAUGUUGGGUUAAGUCCCGCAACGAGCGCAACCCUUAUCCUUUGUUGCCAGCGGUCUGGCCGGGAACUCAAAGGAGACUGCCAGUGAUAAACUGGAGGAAGGUGGGGAUGACGUCAAGUCAUCAUGGCCCUUACGACCAGGGCUACACACGUGCUACAAUGGCGCAUACAAAGAGAAGCGACCUCGCGAGAGCAAGCGGACCUCAUAAAGUGCGUCGUAGUCCGGAUUGGAGUCUGCAACUCGACUCCAUGAAGUCGGAAUCGCUAGUAAUCGUGGAUCAGAAUGCCACGGUGAAUACGUUCCCGGGCCUUGUACACACCGCCCGUCACACCAUGGGAGUGGGUUGCAAAAGAAGUAGGUAGCUUAACCUUCGGGAGGGCGCUUACCACUUUGUGAUUCAUGACUGGGGUGAAGUCGUAACAAGGUAACCGUAGGGGAACCUGCGGUUGGAUCACCUCCUUACCUUAAAGAA
rnacentral:rRNA from 1 species